UUCGCAAUGCCCGAAAGGGUGACGAAGCGACGCCGCGUGGGUGAGGAAGGCCCUCGGGUUGUAAAGCCCUGUCAGGAGUUAAGAAAUGCAGGUGUGCUAAUAUCACACCUGCUUGACGAAGGCUCCAAAGGAAGUCACGGCUAACUCUGUGCCAGCAGCCGCGGUAAUACAGAGGUGGCAAGCGUUGUUCGGAAUUAUUGGGCGUAAAGAGCACGUAGGUGGGUUUGUAAGUCAGAUGUGAAAGCCUCCUGUUCAACGGGAGAAUUGCAUCUGAAAUUGCGAAUCUUGAGUAUAGGAGGGGAGAAUGGAACUUCUGGUGGAGCGGUGAAAUGCGUAGAUAUCAGAAGGAACGCCGGCGGCGAAAGCGAUUCUCUGGCCUAUUACUGACACUCAGUGUGCGAAAGCUAGGGGAGCAAACGGGAUUAGAUACCCCGGUAGUCCUAGCCGUAAACGAUGGGCACUAAGUAGAGGGGUUUU
rnacentral:rRNA from 1 species